rnacentral:misc_RNA from 1 species
GUGAAUCAUCGAAUCUUUGAACGCACAUUGCGCCCGCCAGCAUUCUGGCGGGCAUGCCUGUUCGAGCGUCAUUUCAACCCUCAAGCACCGCUUGGCGUUGGGGCCCUACGGCUUCCGUAGGCCCCGAAAUACAGUGGCGGACCCUCCCGGAGCCUCCUUUGCGUAGUAACAUACCACCUCGCACUGGGAUCCGGAGGGACUCCUGCCGUAAAACCCCCCACUUUCCAAAGGUUGACCUCGGAUCAGGUAGGAAUACCCGCUGAACUUAAGCAUAUCAAUAAGCGGAGGA